GUUAACGUCAGUUUUGUACGACAUCCCUGACUUAUAAUUGCAUAUUGCAAUCGAAGCUUAAGAAAGUUCGAUACUCGAGACAACAUAUGCAGUUUCCUUUCGAUUCCGACAUUAUUUUUCAUUCAGGUUUAUUUUGUGCAGUACUUAUGUAUAUUUUAUUGUUGGUAAAAAAAAUAAAAAACAUAAUUAUCGCGAUCGGUGUAUGUUCCGUUUUCCAUUCAUUUAUUUGUUUGGUUGAUUGGUGAUUAUUAUAGUUAAGCAUAGAUAAGCUGCUGAUGCCGACGCACGAUGGUGUUGUUAUGGUUGCCACCUCAGUUAAUUUGAUGAAUUUAUUUAUGUGAGUUUUAUUUUGUUUGUUUUUGAUUUUAUAUUUU